UCGCCCACACGCGCGGCCGGAGACCCCGGAAUCCCAAUCGGAUCGCGAGGAAAGCCACUGAGAGAGUGUGGAUGGCUCCCUCCUUGCUCGCCUCGGCGGCGAGCCAAAUCCUCGCCGCUCCCCGCCGGGGAGGCCGCGGCCGGCGGCGUCUGGUCAUCGCCUGCUCCGCCGGUGCCGGUGCUCCUCCCAAGCUGGUGACUUUCCUCGGGAAGGGCGGCUCCGGGAAGACCACCGCGGCCGCCGUCGCCGCUCAGUAUUAUGCAAGUGAAGGCUUGAAGACAUGCUUGGUCAUACAGUCCCAAGAUCCCACCGCAGAGCAAUUGAUGGGUUGUAAGAUCGGUAACUCGCUGACCGAGUGCGCUGCCAAUCUUUCCACCAUGAAGCUGGAGACUAGUAAAAUGCUGCUUGAACCCCUUGACCGGCUAAAGAAAGUGGACUCGCAGAUCAAUCUUACUCAAGGAGUCCUUGAGGCGGUUGUAGGGGAGGAGCUUGGAGUCUUACCCGGAAUGGACUCGGUCUGUUCAGUGUUAGCUCUUCAGAAGCUGCUUAACUUCUUUUCAACUCAAAGGAAUAGUUCACAAGAGGAAUUUGAUGUGGUAGUGUAUGAUUGCAACAAUACAGAGGAAAUUCUACGGCUAAUUGGUGCUACUGAGAGAGCAAGGUCUUACUUGAGGUAUGUGAAGGAUCUAGCAGAAAAGACUGACAUAGGAAGACUGGCUUCUCCUUCCGCGAUGAGACUAAUAUACGAUUCUGCAAGGCCAAAUGGUAAAACUAGUGAAGGAAGACUGAGUUCAGAGUUAUGGAAUGAUAUUGAACAACUUAUUCAGAGAAUAUCGGUUUGGUUUGCCGAUCCCUCAAAAUUUGCAUGCUUCCUCAUCAUGGACCCUAGAAGAUCAAUCUCUGUAUCUUCUGCAUUGCGAUACUGGGGAUGUACAACUCAAGCUGGUGGAAAUAUAUGUGGAGCAUUUGGUUAUACCGAACAGCGUUUCGAAAUUCACCAAGGAGUUGCAGAGAAGUUUUUGCCGAUGACUUUCUCGUUUCUGCCAUUUCUGCCAACUGAUUCUUCAGCAGAUUGGAGCAGAGUGCUGAAUUCUUUGAGCCAAAAUGCAAAAGAUUUACUGAGGAAUACAAGCAACAAAGUAUACCCUUCAGUUAGUUUUGAUUCUGUUCAGAAAUCGGUGACCCUUUUCAUGCCGGGCUUUGAUAAGUCUGAAAUCAAACUAUAUCAAUAUAGAGGUGGAUCAGAACUACUGAUAGAAGCCGGCGACCAGAGGCGCGUCGUAAAGCUGCCGCCGGCGAUGCAGGGCAAAGUUGGUGGCGCCAAGUUCGUCGACAGGAACCUCAUUGUUACCAUCCGGUAGCAGUGCGGACCAGCAGUUGUGUAAAAUCUGUCAGAAGAGACCCAAACUGUUAUAAUAAAUCGGAAAAGCGAUGGGACUUGAGCUGCCCCCUCUGUUCAAUGAUCAGUGCACAACUGCGCAGCAACUGGGAUCUCAAUAAUGGUACAAGAUGAAAAUUGACAGUAAACUUAUUCAAGUCAGGUUGUCCUCUGUUUGAUUUGUGUGCAGAACCGAAGUUCUGAGCCACGUUACCAAGAAAAAUGAUAUGGUGGACAAACUUGAUAAAGUGAUACGCAUGCUAAUGUAGAGGACUACAUCCGACAUGGGUUGACCAUGAUCUCGCAAACAAACAACGAACAAGGAAUGGAACAAUGGUAUUGGUAGUUGAUAGUCUAUAAAGAAAAUAAUCUAGUCCAACUUGCUAGAUACAACCUUCUACUGUUCUACAUACUAGCACGAGACAAACCACUGCAUGCACCAACCACCAAACACUGAUCCAUUUCAACCAUCAUGUCCUUGCCAACCCUGGAUAAGUUCUCUGAAAAUUCGUUUACUAACUUCAAUUUCUUAAUUUGCUAAGAGUAGUAGUACUACCUAAGAAACAAGGUGCAAAAAAUACGACAAAAACAAAGACAUGAAAAGGUAGCCGGAUAGUAAAUGCUAAUGAACAACUACUAGAUGAUCAAAGAUAUUCAGAGAAUCAGAGUGAUGACCGUAAAAAGAGGUGCCAACUUCUGAAGAGCAUCAAGCUAAGCUUCCAUAAACUCUUUUACAUGGUACUGAUACUGAUCAGUGAUCACUAAUCACUACGCACACCAAAGGAAGUAAAAUAAAAAAAAAAA